CCUGAAACUUAACAAAAGAAACCUGCUCUUCACUCCAACCGGCUGACUUCCAUCUUCUGCAGUCCAUUAUAUCUCUGCAGCAUAAGGGAUAUUACACAAACUAUCCUCCUCCAAACUUCCCAAGCUCUUUCGUCCAGUUCCUCAUCUCGUCCUCCGUUUUCUCUUUUACCAAACUCCCCCGCUUGGAUAACCAGGGGCUUGAACGCCCCACCACUGAGCAAGGCGGCAACCCUUGUGACAUCGGCUGUCCUCUGUUGGAGAGAACUGAGGCACUGGCGUUGUGCGAAGCCAAAGAAUGACUCCUCUAACUCGCGCCGAUUGGUGGAGGUGGGUCGUGCAUCUUGUUGGUAUAGGGAGUAAACCUUGAGGUUCGUAGUCGACUGGACCUAUCCGGUUUGCUCCACGGAUCCUUACAUCGUUUCUCCUUUGCUCUUCUUUGGUGUGAGAUUCGAGAGUUACGAGAGCUACGAUGCUGUUGGAUAUCCCUUGGAGGGACGUGUAGAGAAGGGAGGUACCCCAUUGUGUCGAGCGUAGUAGUGGGGACGCCGACCAGCGCGGAGCCCUUCGUGGCCUAGACGGUUGUGUUGGUGACAGACCGGGCAGGUGGAGUGGUUUGAAUGGGAGAUGAGUGUAUGAUCGUGGAGGUUGGUCAAGAUGAAAGCGUUGUCGAACACGAGUGAUGGGUAGUAAGGUAUUAUUAAUAGCCACUUGCGUCCAAGGAUACUACAGUUUUCGACCAUGAAUUUCCGUUCAGCGUCCUC
rnacentral:sRNA from 1 species